AGGACCUAUGCGAACGGAACCACAUCUUCAUGCGGCUACAAGCGCUUUGCCUGAUUUACCUGAACUUUCUGAUGCAGGGAACAACAGAUCUCUCCAACAAGCAUCUCAUCGAGGAUGGCCAUCUAUUGACGUUGGCUCAGUUCCCCGCGUCAUUAGCCAUCAAGUUGUGCAUCCCAGUGUGAUAGUGCCAACUCGAAAGGAACAGUUCCCGAUAAGUACAUUCUUCGCUCAACAGAAUGUUUUACCAAGCAUGGCAGUUCAAACAUGGGAUAAGCUCAGACUUCCUGCCCCUGCAUGUUCUGGAGAUCUUUUUCCUAUGCUCACUCUAGCUGACUCAAGUGUAAAAGAUGCAGGGAUGCUUGGUGAGACAAAUCUAAGAAUCCCAGAGAAUUCACCAGCUGACCAGCAAAUAGGAGGAAUUAUGAGAAGGUUCGGAAAGCAACCUGUAGUGCAGGAGCACAGAAACCAGCUGGGACUGCAGUAUCCAAAUAAGGUUGGUCUUAGAUCAUAAAGGCUGUCACAAGUAUCUGGCUUAUUUGAAUGUCUUCAAAUUUCUUUUAGCUGUACCAGAAUUGAGGAAACAU
rnacentral:misc_RNA from 1 species